rnacentral:lncRNA from 1 species
CAACCAACUAUAAUGGGUUUUUUUUUCUUAAUAUAAUACAACAUUUUAUCAAAGUGAAUUUUUGAAAUUGAUCCAAAACAAAAAAUAGUGUUUAAUUACUGAACAGAGUCUUUAACUGUGGAAGCCUCCUUGGCCCAUUGGUUGACCAAAGGUUAAUUAAUGCUUAUACACCAAGAGGUUUGGGGUUCGAGUCCCAGAUAUUACGAUUUAUUAAUAAAUUUGCAGAUUAAAGGAGGCAAGUGUGCAUGAGAUCUCCAGCGAAGUACAAUUAUAGCCGUUCGCCAGGAUUCUACGCAGAGAGAGAAGUGUCGUCAGGUCGUGGAUCAUUGAAGGUGUCCGUCAAGAGCAUGGAGAAGGAAGUGUCGUCUGUCGUGGAUCUAAUAUGGGUCGAAAGGAAUUGUCCGUUGUAGAAUCAUCUAUGUAACAGUUCUCAUAAUUUGCAAUAAAUAAUAAAUCUAGAUGUCAAAAAAAGAACAGAGUCUUUAAGAUUUGAUCGCAACACGAUAGACCAAUAUUUACAUAUUAACAUAUAUUGACGGAUUAAACUUUCAUAGUAAAGAACUUGUGUUUACUGAAAUGAAACCAACUUUGUAAGAUACAUAUUUGAUUUAAAAUAUAAAAAAAAUUAUGUUUGUUGAUAUUGUUUUUUUUCAUGGAAAAUAUACAUUUUAAGGAGAUUAGUAGAGAGAAAAGAAGACGUUAGUAAAUUUGAAUAAGUGUAUACCGAAAGUUCCUCUUUAUAGAUACAAGAAGAAAAAUAAUUUUUUUUAUUUAAUUAUCAAAUUACAUCACACAAAUAAUUUGGGACUUUGUGAUUACCUCGUCUCUCAUUGGUAUAUAAUCGGAUCCCGGAGCUGUGAAAGAAAUUGUUAGGAGAGUGGAAAAGGAUAUGACGAGAAAGUAAAACACUGAAAGUUUUGUGUAAACCAACAUUCUGAGAGAAUGUAAGAAACUUUAUUUCUUU